CUCUCUCCUCGCCUCACGCUUUCCACACUGAUACGGCACCCAGUCGCCGCCUCGUCACGAUCUUGGAGAGAGAGGGAGAGACAGAGUUGGAAGGAUGAGUUCUUGGGGGUCCGUGUCCGCGGCGCCGGAGCGGGACAUCGAUGACCUGCCGCGGAACGACGCCAACUACACGGCGCUCACGCCGCUCUGGUUCCUGGAGCGCGCCGCGCUGGCGCAGCCGGGCAGGGCGUCCGUCGUGCACGGCCCCAUGCGCUACACCUGGGCCGAGACCUACCGCCGGUGCCGCCGCUUUGCGUCCGCCCUCGCGCGCCGAUCCGUCGGCCACGGAAGCACGGUGAGAUCGCUCAGCUUCCUUCUAUUUCCUCCUCUUCUUUGGGGAAUCCUUUUUUGAUAAGCGGGUCCCUGUUUUCCCCCAAGCAUAUAGGCGUUUGUGAACGGUAUCGUGUCUUUUUUAGGAACUUUUGAAUUAUAAUAUGAGUUGCAUUCAUUGGGUAAAAUGCUAAAAUUUCGUUCGUGGGGACUUUGACAGUGACCUGACUGCAAAUUUAUAUGCAAAAAGAUGGGCCCUGUUUCCAACUAGUGGAAGGACCUGUUACUGAUUCCUACCUUUGCGAGAUGAAUUUCACCAUCUUUAUUUUUUGAAGGAAAAAACAUUGCAUGGUUCCUCUUGUAGUUCUCUGAUGUAUGUAUUUGACUGUAUUUGAUCGUCAAUUCGUACAUGUUGCAUGUUACCAUUAUGCUAUUAUCAUGUAUUCAUGUUGCGUUAGAUCUCCUACUCUUGCCCAAUGGAGUAGUAGUUAACGACUGUUUUCCAUUUCGCAAAGAAAGAAAACGACGACUGCUUUCCAAAAAAAGGAAGCAGGGGGUCCUCCCCUGUUUGUAGAACACUGCAGUCCAGUGAUAGCUUGAGAUGCCCAUUUAUGUUGGAUUAACUACUCAGAUACAUACAUCGUUUGCAUAUUCAAGAUGCAAUGGAAUUGUCCAGGCCAUGUCAGUAGCAAGUGGCCCCAGAUGGUUGCAUCUUGUUUUUAGGCUACUAAGGUGUUUGGAUACGAGGUGUUAAACUUUAACAGCGUCACAUCAGAUGUUCGGAUGUUAAUUAGAAAAACUAAACAUGAGCUAAUUAUAAAACUAAUUGCAGAACCUUGUGCUAAUUCGCGAGACGAAUUUUUUAAGCCUAAUUAAUCCAUCAUUAGUAAAUGGUUACUGUAGCACCACAUUGUCAAAUCAUGGACUAAUUAGGCUUAAUAGAUUCGUCUCGCGAAUUACACUCCAUCUGUGCAAUUAGUUUUAUAAUUAGCCUAUGUUUAAUACUCCUAAUUAGUAUCCAAACAUCCGAUGUGACGGGUGUUAAACUUUAACAACUCGUGUUAAACUUUAACAACUCGUUGCCAAGUUGUGGUAUUCUGGUUGCUUUUAGAAGGCGCCUGUUAUCAAUACUAGUCUAGUGGCAGUAGCUUUCCUCAUCAAAAUGAAAUACGACAGCUUGCUGUUUUUGGUCAAAAUAAAAGAUAAGCCUAUCUCAUUUUGGUCUUGACUUUGGGUCUUGUCUCUAUCAACCUGUUGAGACUUGAGGGCAGCAUCUAGCCUUGAAAAAAAGGCCAUUUCUCAUGAAGAAAAAAAAACUUGUCUAAUGAUGGCCUAUACAUUUUCUCCAAUGUAUAUUUGCUCAUCGGUCAGUCCACUGCACCUUUUGGGGGGUGGGGGGAGACCAUUAGGAUAAAAUUAAUUGGAUGAUUAUUUAGCUACUAAAAUAAACAUUGUGGCUGUAUGAUUCCUGAGGUCCUUAAGAAAGAGGAAGCAUUUUGAUUAUCUUGGAAACAAUUUGUGCUUGAAUUGUAAUAAACUGAAUCUUUUUCUUUGCUUAGGUUGCUGUAAUAGCCCCAAAUGUCCCAGCAGUUUAUGAAGCUCAUUUUGGCGUUCCAAUGGCCGGAGCUGUAGUCAACUGCGUCAAUAUCAGGUUAAAUGCCGAGACAAUAGCAUUCCUUCUUGAGCAUUCUGUAGCAGAAGUUGUGAUGGUGGACCAAGAAUUCUUCACCCUCGCUGAAGAAUCCCUAAAGAUAAUCACCGAGAAGAAGAAAUCAGCUUUCAGGCCUCCUAUCCUGAUCGUUAUUGGUGACCCAACCUGUGAUCCAAAGUCCCUGCACUAUGCUCUAGGAAAGGGAGCUAUAGGGUAUGAAGAGUUUCUGAAAACUGGUGACCCAGAGUUCAACUGGAAGCCACCAAAGGAUGAAUGGCAGAGCAUCGCCCUAGGCUACACUUCGGGGACUACUUCCAGCCCAAAAGGCGUCGUGCUGCAUCACCGCGGUGCCUAUCUCAUGGCGCUCAGUGUUGCUAUGGUGUGGGGAAUGCCUGAAGGGGCUGUUUACUUGUGGACUCUGCCCAUGUUCCACUGCAAUGGCUGGUGCUAUACUUGGGCGCUGGCAGCCUUCUGUGGAACGAGCGUAUGCCUUCGCCAGGUACGUUAACCAUCUGUCCUGGACCACAUUUUGGUCCCCAAGUGUAUUAUGAAAUUAUGCGGAAUGCAUUUUUAGUUUCAGCUACAUCUACUCAACUUCAGGGUGAAAAAAAGCAAGAAAACUUGCCGUGCAAUUCAUUUGGGCUGUAGUAAUUCAAACACCAUUUUGCAAUUUGCAGGUGAGCACGAAAGCUAUAUACCAUAGCAUUGCGAAGCUAGGUGUGACGCACUUCUGUGCUGCACCGGUCGUGCUCAACAACCUCAUCAACGCUCCGGCAAGCGAGACGUUCCUGCCGCUCCCCCGCGUCGUAAACGUCAACGUGGCCGGAGCCGCCCCGACGCCGUCCCUUCUCGCCGCGCUGUCCAUCCGCGGCUUUCGAGUCACGCACACGUACGGCCUGUCGGAGACCUACGGGCCUUCGACGGUGUGCGCGUGGAAGCCCGAGUGGGACGAGCUGCCGCUGGAGGAGCGGUCCCGUCUGCACUGCCGGCAGGGCAUCCGGUACAUCGCGCUGGAAGGGCUGGACGUGGUGGACCCGAAGACGAUGGCGCCCGUCCCGGCCGACGGCAAGACCUACGGCGAGAUCGUGAUGCGCGGCAACGCCGUGAUGAAGGGUUACCUGAAGACCCCGAGGCGAACGCGGAGGCGUUCGCGGGCGGGUGGUACCACUCGGGCGACCUGGGAGUGAAGCACCCCGAUGGGUACAUCGAGGUGAGGGACCGGAUGAAGGACGUGAUCAUCUCAGGCGGGGAGAACAUCAGCAGCCUGGAGGUGGAGAAGGUGGUGUGCAUGCACCCGGCGGUGCUCGAGGCCUCGGUUGUCGCCAGGGCCGACGAGCGGUGGGGGGAGUCGCCGUGCGCGUUCGUGACGCUCAAGGACGGAGCCGCUGACGGCACGGAGGACACCGCGAACGACAUCAUGCGGUUCUGCCGGGAGAGGAUGCCGGGGUACUGGGUGCCCAAGUCGGUGAUCUUCGGGCCGCUGCCCAAGACGGCCACGGGGAAGAUCAAGAAGAACGAGCUGAGAGCCAAGGCCAAGGAGCUGGGGCCUGUCAAGAAGAGCAGGAUGUGAAGGUGUGAACCCUGGUGCUGAGACAGGAGUAUAGUACAGGGGAAAAGGAAAAUGGUUGGGCCGACGUCGUUACAUAAAGGAAACCAGAAAUUUCACCGGCGAAGUACCUUCAAAGUCCUGGGAUUUCAAAAUAUGCACAGAGGUUGAUUACUUUGUGCUUUAUUCAGUUGUAUCCUUCAGAGAUUCAGAUCAGAUCUGUAUUUUACAGUUUGGAGCAGAGUGGUCGCUGCUGCCAUGUGCUAAGGAGACCAUGUUUGCCAUUCUUCAUUCUCUCUCUUGUUUCUUGAGAACGGUCGCUUGCACGAGCAGCUUCUCGUGUUGACCUGCGAUGAGGGAUUCCAGUUCCAAUCGCCAUGCACACUUACUUGUACAAGAAACGGAGGUGGAAGUCGCGUGCUGACGUUCUCUACGUCCAUCCGUUCUUGCCACGUUGGAACAGGUCACGGUGCGCAUCGUUUGGAUUUCGUCUCGCGGAGGCGGCCGAUCAUAUCCUUGUUUGAAAAAUCCAUUCGCAUCACGGCGACAGAUUGAUAACAGAGGAUGGUAGCUGCCCCACUUGCAAUUUUCUUUUGUUUGGCCCGACAAAGAAGACGAUGAGUUUUCCCCAACCCGAUCUGUUCAGCUUAAUCCGCGGAGUUGUAUAUGUUCUCCAAGCGUCGGCACUGGCUGCUGCCGAAGAAUUUUCGCGACGGCGAGUCAAGCGUGGCGCCCAGCUCCGAUCCAAAUGCCCCUGAUCCAUCGAGAGGUGAUCAGGCAAAAGCGACCGGCGAGCCAGUGCUAAUCCGACAAGGACGUGCAGUGUAGUUUUUUUUUUUUAAACCAACAGUGUAGUUUCGUCCGCAUCAAAAUGUUUGACAACUUGAGCCUUACAGGGCACGAAGAACAUAUUUCUACGAUACAGCUGUCCGCAAAAAAAAUAUUGCACGGCUCGUUUCAGCCUCUCUACCAGGGAGCAGUGGAGUUUGCCGUGGCGCCGCGUGCCCUUUCGGUAACACCAAAGGGAAGCAUGCACAGUGAGAUGUGCGAGAUAUGCAUAGUGCCCAUGGUCGUAGCUGGAGCUGUUCUACAAGCGCAACAAAGACAUCUGUCGCUAUCUGGAUUGAUUAAUCCGGCAACUGUUCCCCGUUUCUUUGUUUUUUUCUUGAGGAAGCAGCCUUUUAGGAUCCCAGCAUGCAAUUCAUGCAUUCGCGAAGGAAUCGCGAUCACCAAUUCACCAUCCUAACUAAGCCUGCUAAUGGUUCGGGCUAAGCCCGGUUUUAAUGGACUGGUUUUGUUACUUGGGCUUAAUUAGUUCGGUGGUAAACAGGCUGAGGUGUUUAGUAGGCUGGUUUGGUGUGGUUUUCUUUCAUAAUAGAUUGGUCCGGCCUGGUUCGAUCCAAACGGCCGGUUGCUCUAACCCCGACUCGCGACCCCCUUCCACAUCUUCCCUCCGUCUCCCAGUGCGCCGACGCCGGGGGCUCGUCCUUGCCCAUCUUGCCGGCGCCGCCGCGUCGUACUCCUCACUCUGCCACUCCCCCACCGCUGCCGACGACGUUCGGGUGCCCCAACUACUGGUCACUUCUCUGGCGGGCGGCCACAGCCACGGGAGCAGGGGCGAAGGACUCGAGGAGCGGCUGCCCUGCGCGCGGCGGGCUGGAGACGGAGCGGCCGCCGCCGCCGCCGGGCGUCCACGACGCGGAGCAGCUGAAGGAGGCGAGGAGCAGGGGCAGCAGGCUCUGGAGUAUCUACUCCAUCCCGAAAUUGUAGCCAGUCAGUGCAGCAGAGCGGAGAUUCGCUCGGAGUUGCCACUGCUUCCUCCUCCAGAUUUCUGUACAGCACCGUACUUCGGCCGUUUGACUUAGCACCCGUCACAUCAAAUAUUUAGAUACUAAUUAGGAGUAUUAAACGUAGACUAUUUACAAAACUCAUUACAUAUGUGGAGACUAAACGGCGAGACGAAUCUAUUAAACUAAUUAGUCCAUGAUUUGAAAGGAAUCUAUUAAUUAGGCUUAAUAGAUUCCUUUCAAACGAUAGUUUACACGCAAGCUGGCGCAAGCAAGCUACCACAGUAUGUAUGGUUAGAGAAUCAGGUGAAGACCACAAGUUCAGUUUGGUUUUGGUGUGAAAUCGCUGGCGGAUUGGUGUAGUUCCGUUUUUGAGGCAUGCAGAUUGAUGUGAUGUGGUUUAAUUGACGAGCAGCAGAAUAGUGGGUUUGGUGCGGCUUUAUAGUCUGGAUCUCAGACCAUCAGCAGCCUUAAUCCUAACAGCAAGCAAUCACAUCGCAGGAUCUGCCACCCAAAACUGUACGCCGCUCCAGGCAGCCCCUGCCUAAACAAACAGCAGAAAUUCCCGGGCUCUCCCAACCCCAACGUGAUCGGCCUGCCACGGCGCUCGCCACCACCCGCCGCCUCGCGACCCGCGAGCCACCCACCAACCUACCCGCUCGGAGCCUCGGACACACGCCCAGCGCCGUGCGCCGCCACUAAAAAACCCGCAAAAACCCAUGCCACGGGGCUGCCCCCGCAGCCGAUCCCCACCACCCGCUCCUCAUCCCCCGCCUCCCUCACACCGCGCGCCCACGCCCACGCCCACGCCGGGCGCCGGGGUUUGUCCCGCCUGCCGGCUGCCCAAAAACACAUAUAAAAACGCGAGCGAGGCGCCCCCCGCCCCCACUUGUUCGGACUCUUUCUCCCUUCGGUUCCGAUCCCCCCACCAUCCCCGCAGGCAAGGCAGGUCAAAGCGACGCCGCGGGCUCAACCGAGGGCCCGGCGUUGGUGGUGGUGGCGCGGAGAUGGCGGUGGAGCGGGACAUCGACGACCUGCCGCGGAACGACGCCAACUACACGGCGCUCACGCCGCUGUGGUUCAUCGAGCGCGCCGCGCUGACCCACCCGGCCAGGGCCUCCGUCGUGCACGGGCCCGUGCGCUACACCUGGGCCGACACCUACCGCCGGUGCAGACGCCUCGCC
rnacentral:lncRNA from 1 species